GAUGAACGCUAGCGGCAGGCUUAACACAUGCAAGUCGAGGGGUAGAAGGAGCUUGCUCCUUUGAGACCGGCGCACGGGUGCGUAACGCGUAUGCAAUCUACCUUUUGCAGAGGGAUAGCCCAGAGAAAUUUGGAUUAAUACCUCAUAGUAUGUGAGGAUGGCAUCAUUUUCACAUUAAAGUCACAACGGCAAAAGAUGAGCAUGCGUCCCAUUAGCUAGUUGGUAAGGUAACGGCUUACCAAGGCUACGAUGGGUAGGGUCCUGAGAGGGAGAUCCCCCACACUGGUACUGAGACACGGACCAGACUCCUACGGGAGGCAGCAGUGAGGAAUAUUGGACAAUGGGCGCAAGCCUGAUCCAGCCAUGCCGCGUGCAGGAUGACGGUCCUAUGGAUUGUAAACUGCUUUUGUACAGGAAGAAACACUACUUCGUGAAGUAGCUUGACGGUACUGUAAGAAUAAGGAUCGG
rnacentral:rRNA from 1 species